rnacentral:lncRNA from 1 species
UGACCUGUGUUCUUCUUUUCUCGGUGACCUGUAUUCUUCCUUUCUCGGUUUUUCUUCUACUUUUCACAAAAAUCAGUCUUAACAAAAUUUAAAUCUUCAGAAUCUCUUUCAUUUCAGAAUCUCUCAACGAAAUCUUCUUUAUAAGUUGUACAUAGACAACGGUCCUCCACAGGCUGUAUACUCAAUUUAUACGCUGCCUUUGAUUUAAAUUCAGACGUCAAACAACAAUUGCAUUUAUCAAAAAAAAUCUUCACAGCUCAUCAAGAUUGCAAAAGAAAACUUCAGAUCUAUCUAUCAAUUGGAUCGUUUACACAAAAUUGACAUAAUUAUAAAAAUCUUGCAACCUUGGAGGUGAGGAUCCAGCUUUGAUUUUGUACACCAGUGGUACAACAGGGAAACAAAAAAGAGUAGUUCAUAAACGCAAAGGAAUAUUAGCUCAGGUUUAUCUCUGUUCGAGAUUUAAUGUUCUACAUUCUUGGAUCCUAUUAACAAGUUGUGUUAAAACUGGUUUUUAAGUUGUUUCUGCCUGAUUGUUGUGAUAUUGACUUUCCUGCUAAGGGUGAUGUUUUAUGUAGAUAUUUGGUGAUAUUAUAGUUUGACCUGUUAGGGAAUUCAAGCUUUACUUUUCGAUUAGGGUUUUGUAAUAUAUAAGAGAGAUUAAUAUCCAUUUGCUUUCUAUCUUCUAUUUUUUUGAGUUAAGGCUUUCAAAAAAAUUUUAAUGCGUUAAUUCAGUGAUUUCUGGAAAUAAUUUGCAAAAUUUAGGGGUUUUUUAUUUUGAUAUUUUAAAAUUGUCUGAAUGUACAUUUUUAGGGUUAUUUUGAAUUUAUUGCAAGAAUUCUUCUACAAUUUUAGUUUAGCUCGCUUUUUUUCUUUUCUUCUUAUUCUCUCGCCUGCUUUUUGUGGGUGUGUGGGUGCGUUAUAUUUUCUUGGACAGGUGUCUUAUUUUUACGGCGAGGAAUUCUGGCAAGCUAGAGUACUUCCGUCGACUCCCAUUCAGAUUUCGGCAGGACGCAGCAGAACUACCUGUUCCGAUAAGCUUCAGGGAAACUUGCCCCAGGUACUAGUCGCGGCGGUGAGACCAGUUUGCGGCAUUUGGGAGUGAGUAGCUAAGCAACACCGGCCGGGACGUGCAAGAGGUGGUAGCAGUUGACCUCGGGCGUAUUAAAGCCUACUUUCAGAUUUUUCCACCGGGAGUUGGUACCUCCCGCUCUCUUGUUUACUCUGUACACCUU